rnacentral:rRNA from 1 species
CCCCCGGGGGAUGCCUCAGUACGGCGAGUGAAGCGGCAAAAGCUCAAAUUUGAAAUCUGGCACUUUCAGUGUCCGAGUUGUAAUUUGUAGAAGUAGUUUUGGGGCUGGUCCUUGUCUAUGUUCCUUGGAACAGGACGUCAUAGAGGGUGAGAAUCCCGUGUGGCGAGGAUCCCAGUUCUUUGUAAAACGCUUUCGAAGAGUCGAGUUGUUUGGGAAUGCAGCUCUAAGUGGGUGGUAAAUUCCAUCUAAAGCUAAAUAUUGGCGAGAGACCGAUAGCGAACAAGUACAGUGAUGGAAAGAUGAAAAGAACUUUGAAAAGAGAGUGAAAAAGUACGUGAAAUUGUUGAAAGGGAAGGGCAUUUGAUCAGACAUGGUGUUUGGACGCCCUGCGCUCCUUGUGGGUGCAGGACACGCUUUUCACUGGGCCAACAUCGGUUUUGGCAGCAGGAUAAAUCGUUAGGAACGUAGCUGCCCUCGGGUAGUGUUACAGCCUGGCGGAAUACUGCUAGCCGGGACUGAGGACUGCGUCUUUUGACAAGGAUGUUGGCAUAAUGGUUAAAUGCCGCCCGUCUUGAACCACCGGAAACC